rnacentral:rRNA from 1 species
UAGGGAAUAUUGCACAAUGGAGGAAACUCUGAUGCAGCGACGUCGCGUGAGGGAAGAAGGUUUUCGGAUUGUAAACCUCUGUCUUUGGUGAAGAAAAUGACGGUAACCAAAGAGGAAGCCACGGCUAACUACGUGCCAGCAGCCGCGGUAAUACGUAGGUGGCAAGCGUUGUCCGGAAUUACUGGGUGUAAAGGGAGCGUAGGCGGGGGAAUAAGUUGAAUGUUAAAACUAUCGGCUCAACCGAUAGCAGCGUUCAAAACUAUUUCUCUUGAGUGGAGUAGAGGUAAGCGGAAUUCCUAGUGUAGCGGUGAAAUGCGUAGAUAUUAGGAGGAACACCAGUGGCGAAGGCGGUUUACUGGGCUCUAACUGACGC